rnacentral:rRNA from 1 species
GACGAACGCUGGCGGCAUGCCUAACACAUGCAAGUCGAGCGAGCAGAUCCCUUCGGGGUGUAGCUAGCGGCGGACGGGUGAGUAACACGUGGGCAACCUGCCUCAUAGAGGGGAAUAACCUUCCGAAAGGAAGAUUAAUACCGCAUAAGAUUGUAGCUUCGCAUGAAGCAGCAAUUAAAGGAGCAAUCCGCUAUGAGAUGGGCCCGCGGCGCAUUAGCUAGUUGGUGAGGUAACGGCUCACCAAGGCGACGAUGCGUAGCCGACCUGCAGAGGGUGAUCGGCCACAUUGGGACUGAGACACGGCCCAGACUCCUACGGGAGGCAGCAGUGGGGAAUAUUGCACAAUGGGGGAAACCCUGAUGCAGCAAUGCCGCGUGAGUGAUGACGGCCUUCGGGUUGUAAAGCUCUGUCUUCGGGGACGAUAAUGACGGUACCCGAGGAGGAAGCCACGGCUAACUACGUGCCAGCAGCCGCUGUAA